AUAAUAAAUAUUUACCACAUUUCACAAGCCUAAUCGGGCAGAAACACAAAUCAAACAAACAAAUCGUGUUUCUGCCCGAUUAGGCUUGUGAAAUGUGGUAAAUAUUUAUUAUUUA